UAAUGCCACUUCUAGAGCUGGUCCAUAAAACCUUCCACACAAUCCUGCAUGCUUCCUGUCUCUACCCCGUCUGCUGACUGGAAACAGGGAAUACAGAAUCCUCCAAUAGAGGAUUCCAAAACCUGUAACAGUGAUCAGAGCCACAAGGUGGAUCGUUCUGGGUCUCGGAAUCAUCCGGUGGGAGGCCAUCAAGUGAACACCUGCAUUAAACUGUUAUGCGAGGGAGACGUUAACUUCCAUUGAGAUGAAAAUACCUGGUUUGUCUAACAUCUGACCUCCAGCAGAAGACAGCUUACCAAGCCUAUAGAGAUGAGUCUCACCAGCAAACGAAGACAGCCCUUCAAUUUCCUACAAGUGGACUCUGCAAUUGACGUGCAGGUGGUGGCAGGGCCCAUAGUCUGGGGAUGGGCCAAAAUGCCUAGGAGGCUAAUAACUACUUGUUCAGCAAUUUAGCACGUCCCAGGCUGCUGGAAACUAACAUCUUCCUGAAGAGGAUGUCCUUCACCCUUCUCCCUCCAGGCACGACAAGUUUUCAAGACCAAGAGAGUAGAGAAGUCAGGUAAAGUGCGAGGGAAGAUGGGAAACAAUGCAAUAAUAUGGGGGAAAGGAAAACCUGAAGAUGUGGCCACAAGAGGUGUCGGGCGCUUUCCAAGCCUGGGACUCCAAGAGAACACUGCAGUCCAGUUUCAGAGCUAGAGUCACAAAGCUGACUCUAGAGCUUUUUCUAGAGCUGGGCAAAGCUCCGAGGUCAUGAUGCCUAACUCUCUCAUUUCAUAAAGAGGGAAUGAAGGGCCUGAGUGAUUAAGGACUAUGUCCAAAGUCACAGAGGCAGUCACGGUAGGACUAAAGUCCCGGACCAGUGCUCUCCAAUGCUCUUUGUAUUUUCUACUCUUGCUUGAAGGCCUGAUAGGAAGCACUCAGUUCAAGGAGUUGGAGUAGCAGAUGUAAUUAGGAAGCUAAGUGCUGGAGUAUGUGGUCCCUGAGGAUUCAUCUCUCCAUGCCCUUGGCCAACCCCUGUCCUCCCUGAAAGCCUUCCCCUGCUUCUCUGAGAAGCCAGCUCCCGUCACCCACUAGGGACAGACACAAACAUUCUGUCUGGGGUGAGUCUCUCAAUUCCAAAGUGAAGCAGGAGUGGGAACAUCUCCACUUAGAACUCCAGAGCAUCUGGGAAGGGAAAGUGUCUCCAGGCUGGAAACACAUGGAAAUUUCCCUGAACCCAGAAGCAUGCUUGGAAUAGUUUCAACUGCCGCAUCACCACCCCAGCCCAGCCGUGUUAGCGAGGCAAGCCGCAAUCAGGGAGAUAAUUAGUUUGCUGUUAUUUAUUCCCUGCGCUAAUCAGCAGCCCACUGCUUGCACAGUGGAGAGGGCUCCUGCCCCCAGAGCCAUGGAGGUUCUCAGGGAUCUUUAGUUACCCGCAGAAGACAAAGGGCUGGGAAGAGGGACAGAAAGGGAGGAGGAGACCUAGACCCCAAGAUGCAGUGCUGUAGGCUUCUCUACCGUGCAUAGAGCCCUUGGGAGAGGCGGUCCUGGGAUCACCAGGGGCCCAGGGCAGCACUGCACUCCUCUUCAUUUUGUUCUUGGGGUUGGGCUGUGGUCAAUAAAGGGCGGCUGGCGUUCACCUCCCUGUUCUGCCUCACUGCAGUCAAAUUGCCUUUUUCCAAGGCGACUUUCAAAAAAAGAUGACAUUUAUC
rnacentral:lncRNA from 10 species